rnacentral:snRNA from 1 species
ACCAGUCUUCAGUCAAGGAUUUACGAGUAGCUAUGCUCCCCUGCUAGAACCUCCAAACAAGCUCUCAAGGUCCAUUGUAGGAUCGUAGGGUUGUAAAGCUUAUGGACUACCCAAAGAACUGUGGACCUUGGCAUGGGCCGGGUAACUC